rnacentral:rRNA from 1 species
AUACGGAGGAUCCGAGCGUUAUCCGGAUUUAUUGGGUUUAAAGGGAGCGUAGGCGGACGCUUAAGUCAGUUGUGAAAGUUUGCGGCUCAACCGUAAAAUUGCAGUUGAUACUGGGUGUCUUGAGUACAAUAGAGGCAGGCGGAAUUUGUGGGGGUGCGGGGGAAUGCUUAGAUAUCACGAAGAACUCCGAUUGCGAAGGCAGCCUGCUGGACUGUAACUGACGCUGAUGCUCGAAAGUGUGGGUAUCAAACAGGAUUAGAUACCCUGGUAGUCCACACAGUAAACGAUGAAUACUCGCUGUUUGCGAUAUACAGUAAGCGGCCAAGCGAAAGCGUUAAGUAUUCCACCUGGGGAGUACGCCGGCAACGGUGAAACUCAAAUGAAUUGACGGGG